UUUUUUUUUUGGCUUUAACUUUUGCCUUUUAUUGAUUGAGCUUGUGAAAACUCUUUAUUGGAAGAGUUAUGUAACAUAACUUUGCUUUUAAUUAUAUGUACAAAGAAUGGGAAAGAGGUAAGAUAAUGAAAAGGUCUAGAGCUCUUUUUAUUAUUCCUUUCCUUUUUUACUAUAUACCAUAAUAAUGUAAUGAAUUGCAAUGCAACACUAGGGUUUCAUACUUCUGAAACCUUUUUAUUUUGCUUUAAUUUCUAUCUCACUCAUUUCUCUUUUCCCCUUAAAUUUAAUUUGUUUCAUGUCACACAAACUGUUUUUUAAUCCUUCGAUUAUCCAUUCAACAGAAUAGGCACACAAAAAAAAACGAUUGAAUUUUCUUUUAAUUGUCAAAACCAGCGGCAAAGCCAGGAAUUUUUCUUAGGGUGUUCCAACCUAAAAGAAAUAAAAAAAAUCUCUGACAAAGUAUGUUCAAUAUAUGUAAUAUACCUGUAAAACCUAAUAUUUUACCUAUAUACACAGUGUAAUUUUCUGACGAAGUGCGGUCAAUUCUAUAGUAUAGCUUCGCCCAUGGUCAAAACCCUAGAUGUGAGGGCUUACAUGUUUAUAUAUUGGCUUUAAAUAUGUCAUGUCAUUCCUAUAAGGGAAUGUUACUAAGGUAAAAGAGUAUCACCAGAGAAGGAGCCGAAAUUUUCAUUUAUUGGUUCUGAAUUUUAGAAAGAUGAUUUUAAGUAUUAAUAAUUGAGUUAUAAAUUUAAUAUUUAUACAUAUUUAAUGAACAUUUAAACACAAAUAUGCCAUUUGAACAAAAGUUACAGGGUUUAUCCGAACCUGUAGCGAGGUGCUAAUUCUGCCCCUAGGUAUUACAUAAAUAUGCCAACAUGCACAUGCAAUUGUGGUAACUAGGCUGAUAGUGAUGCAAUAAUGUCGAAAUAUGUUACUUAUUUGUUUAAACACCUUUGGUGUUUUCUCUACUAUGUAAAAACAUGGCUAUAAAUUUAUACAACUAUAUCACCAACUAGCACCACUAAAUUCGAAUUGUUUGAAUCACUAUAAAUUGGUUAUUUGACAAGUCCUUGUUAUGGGCCAAAAACGAGAUGGGCAGCUUUUAUUUUCCCAUUAAAUGUAAUGAAUUGAAUUACCAGAUGGCAAUAGAAAUCCCCCUUUAUUGCUGUCCAUAUAAGCUUAUGAUCAGCCAUUUUUGCUACAUCCCCAUCUGAAUUUCUGUAAUGACAGAUUUGAAAAGCAUCAAACUAGCUUGUUAUCAUAUGACAACGUUUAUCAUAUUUGAUGUGUGAAAAAUGGAAAGUGAUAUGAAAAUUGAGGAUUUAAAUUUUAUGAAUUCAAUUUUUAAGUUUUUUAACAUUGAACCCGUUAUAAUUUUAAGUUAUAAGUUCAUAUCUACUAUUUUUAUAAUUUUCGUGAAUUUUUACACAUGAAUUUAUAUUAUGCUUUUAAAAUUAUGGUUCGAUUGAACCAGUUAGUAAAAUACUACAUUUGCCCUUGUCCAGAGGCGAAUCCAGAAUUUAAACUAUAUGGGUUCAAUAUUUUAGGUUCCUAACAUUGAACUUACCAUAUUUUAAAAGUUAUGGGUUCAUAUCUAUUAUUUAUUGCAAUUUUAGUGAACACGCAAAUAUUUAUGUUGCCUCGAAAGUUACAGGUUCAAUUAAACUCACAGGUACAAUGCUACAUUCGCCCCUGCCCUUGUCCGCAAGAUAAGUAUAAGGUCUGCCUAUAUACUAUCCUCCCAAUGUGAGGAUAUACUGAGUGCAUUAUUGUUGAUAAUUACCAGUUUAAGGAUCUCAUUUCCUUUUGAGAUUUAUUAUUUAAAAAAAACACCACCUUUUGUUGUUCCAUUUACAGCUUGUUUGGAUGGUUGUUACUCAUUUUAUCGUAUUGUAUUGUUAUCCCAAAAUAAUAUUUGGUUUGAUUGUUUUGUUAAAAUUAAUUGUAACGACCCGACCGAUCGUUUUGAGCAUUUUCACUUCGCUCAGUGGUUUGAGCACAUGAGUAGCUUCGUAUGAUGUAUUAUGACUUAUGUGAAUCGUCGGUUUUGGUUUGAGGUUAUUCGGAAUUGAUUUAGAAGAAUGAUUCUCAACUAGGAAGCUUUAAAUUAGAAGAGCUGACCAAGUUUGACUUUUUAGUAUUUGACCUCAGAUUGGAUUUUUUAUGGUUCCGUUAGCUCCUUUGGAUGAUUUUGGACUUAGGAACGUAUCCGGAUUGUGAUUUAGAGGUCUGUAGUUGAAUUUGGCUUGAAAUGACGAAAAGUUAAAUUUUUGGAAGUUUGAUCGGUAGUGAACUUUUUGAUAUCGGAUUCGGAUUGUUGUUCCGGGAAUUGAAAUAAAUUUGUUAUGUCAUUUGGGACUUGUGUGCAAAAUUUGGGUUCAUUCCGGGUUGGUUAGCUAUGUUUCGGCACGAGUUAUGGAUGUUGAAAAGUUUAAAGUUCAUCAAGUUCGAUUUGAGGCGCGAUUCAUUAUUUUGUUGUUGCCAUAUGUGAUUUGGGGCCGCGAGUAGGUCCGUGUUAUGUGAUGGGACUUGUUGGUAUACUUGAACGGGAUCCUGAGGGGCUCGAGCAUGUUUCGAAUUGAUUUCGGAUCAUUUUUCUCUAUGUUUUCAUUACUGGUAGCUGUUGUUUGCGCGUGUUUCAAACCGUCUUCGCGAUCGCGAAGAUUGGCACGCAAUCACGUAGUAUAUCAGAGGAUUUGGCCUUUUCCUUCGUUGCGUUCGUGCCAGUGGCAUCGAGUUCGCGAGCCUUUGUGAGGUUUGGGCAUUGUCACACCCCUUUUUACUCCUCCAAAGGAUAAUGAACGUUAUGGAUUGUAGGUUAAAAAGUUUUUCCAAUUAAAGUGACAAACUUGAGUAGGAAUUAUUUUAUUUACAUAGUCGCCACUUGGAAUUGAUUUUUAGGUGUUCCAAGUUACCUUUUAUUUGAAUCCCUAGUCAAAGGAAGAUUUGACUCUAUUUUUUAUCGGUCUCCGAAAAUAAAGUUCGGGUAAGAAAUUCUGUUGACCGGGGAGAAGGUGUAAGGCAUUCCCCGAGUCCCGGGGUUCUAGCACGGUCACUUUAUUGACUAUAUUUGGCUUAAAUUAAUUUUGGAUAAAACUGCAAUUUAUUUGAUUUUUAUGCUUUUCAUAUGUCUGCUUUUAUUUAUUAAAAAAAAUAAAGAAACGAUUUGAAUAAUAUUGAAUUGACCUAACCGUAGCACGCUAGCGAAUGCAUGAUCUAAACAAAAUUUACUAAUUUUGUAAUAAUCACCUUACGCAAGUGAAUCCGCAGUUGUGACAAAAGAUUAUUAGCACGUUAUUACUCUUGGAAAAAUAUCUAUAUUUUAUAUUGCUUUAUUAUGGACAAUAGGCCAACCAAAAUAAGUUCAUUUGGCCAAAGCCUGUUUCUCGUAACCCCGUUUAAGAACUAACGUGAGAGAUAGGCUAAACUAUAAGCAAAUAAUUAACUAAAGAUAUAAUAUUAAAUACUAAUAGAAUAUACUAGGAUAAAAAUUAUUUAAAAUUCCUAUGGCCCACUAAUGUUACAAUUAGCCUAAACCCACAAUCUUUUACUUUCUGUCAAGCAAACACAUGGCCCAUUAUUCAGUCAGCUAUUCCCUUCCCCAAUAUUCUUAACAGAAUUAAUUCACAAAGAGAUCCUAUACUCAUGACAUUAACAGAAGAAAAGUAAUGGACAAACAUCCAUGAAUGAUAAAUAAAUUAAUAGAACGACCAAGGAACUUCAAUAAAAGUGGUAAGUAUGAACCUUUACAUUCAGCGAAUAAGCCUCUUCAAUAGAUCCAAACAUGAAGCUCCAACAUCAUCAAAGAUAUAUGAAAACCCGAAGCUACAACCCGGAAAAAGAACUCGAACAGGACCUGCGACACGAGACUGCAUCGGAACCUCGAAACUCAGUAGUAGAGAAACACAACAAAAAGAUGAGCGAUUUGUGAUGUUGAUUGGGG
rnacentral:lncRNA from 1 species